UACGUAGGGGGCUAGCGUUGUCCGGAAUCAUUGGGCGUAAAGAGCGUGUAGGCGGCCCGGUAAGUCCGCUGUGAAAGUCGGGGGCUCAACCCUCGAAUGCCGGUGGAUACUGUCGGGCUAGAGUGCGGAAGAGGCGAGUGGAAUUCCUGGUGUAGCGGUGAAAUGCGCAGAUAUCAGGAGGAACACCAAUUGCGAAGGCAGCUUACUACACAGUUAUUGACGCUGAGGCACGAAAGCGUGGGGAUCAAACAGG
rnacentral:rRNA from 1 species